rnacentral:lncRNA from 1 species
AUUCUGCGUUUCCGAAAAUGGUCCCCGCGACGCCUCGACGCCCCGAGGUGCCUGGGUACUAGGCUUCCGGCGGCCGCCCUCCUGAAACGGCGCGAAACGGGGCGUCGCCCGCGCCGCACGUGGCAGGCACGUCACAGGGCCCCAAGGGCCGGAGCAGCAGAGUCCCCCUGGGGCCACCGCGGCCCCUCCGCCCUUCUGGCCUCUGCUUGCGACCCCCGCGGCGGCCUGGAGGGCCCUCACGAGAAAACGGUUCGGAGGCCGCGGGCUCACGGGGCAUCUUGUUCAAACGAAAAGAGCGAGAACAGGGGCUUGGCGCCCGUUUGGAGGCCUCCAAACCGGCCAAUCGGCCCGAGGCGACACCGUGACCGACCGGGACUAGAGGAAGCCGCGGGAGUCCGCGCGGGAUUUUCCUUCCGAGGGGCGGUUCGAAGGCCUGUGCGUCCACGACCUGCUUUCGCCGGUCUGCCCGCGAGCGCCCCCACGCGGCAGGGCCCAGAUGCAGGGUCGGCGGGUCGGAAUUCCCGGGUUGAAGUGAACUGCUCUGUGAAGACCUCCUCAGGAUGUUUCCUCCCUGCUGCCUGGCUGUUCAUAGGACGUAACAUCCACAUGCCUUCGCCUGACCUGAACCCGGGGCCGCGGUCUGAGUGAUUGCUCCUGUUGCAGCUGUUUUGAAGAAGAGUUAAUUCUUCACGUUUUGCCUGCUUGGAGAGGCCAUGCCCAGACAUCGAGGAGAAAGAGGAACAACCUGGGGAACCCUAAAGGUUUUGCUAUGUGUAGGCCUCAACUUUCUCAUCUAUAAAAUGGGGUGGCGAAGCCCAUCAACAGGAGGUGCUCUUUCUCCAUUCCUGACUGGUUAGGAGGUUGGCAGAGCAGUUCAUGCUUCAGGUGCCCAGAUUUGACAUGGCUGGACGCUGAGCCUGGCAUGGUGGCUUCACAAAGUCAGCUGGACCCUCUGGGCUUCCUGCAUGCCAGGAUGAAAACAGCUUUUUUUCAUUUGGGAUCCAAGAUGCUGAGUCACUGGUCAGCUCCGAAGGGUUUUUGUUGUGAAACAGUCCGUGGGCCCUCUCCCAAUCCCUGCCCGACAUGCUGGGCCUCAACCCAGUUCUGAUUCAGAGGGGAUGCCUCCAGGAAAGCACUGCAGGGGAGAGGGGGUGGGGCUGGGUGAAGCAGGUUUUAGGAGGAAAGCCCAGGUUUCAGAGUUUCCUAUGGGGAGCUCAAGCUAGGCAGUUGUCCCGGGGUCCCUUUCCAUUUACUUUGUCCAGAGUCUGUGUUAUUCCUAAAGUCUCUAUUGAUCAUCUCUUAUGUGCCCAGCCUCAUGCUCCAGUCUGUGGAGACCUUGAAGGAGAAGCAGUUCCUGUCCUUGAGGACCUGACAGUUUAGAUGGGGGUGAGAGAGACAAGUCUAGCCACUGGAUACAGCACACCUCCCAGAAGAACUUAGGCGUGUGCCAAAGGCAGGCCAGGAGGAGAGGCCUGGAGUGAGUGGGGAUGCUGAAUGGAGGGAGCGGGACUUGGUGAAGAGGCAGAAGGCACAGGGGAGGGCAUUCCAGGAAGGAGUGUUAGCCGGAGCAUGGGAGCAGAGGGGUUUUGGUUUGGGGGUGGGGGACACUGUGAUGAAAUUAACUAGGAUUGAAGUGAAAAGCAAAUAUUGGAGCAGCAUAGGCUAUGGGAGGUAGAGUAUAGAUGGUGGAGGACUGCAUGUCCAUGGUCGUUUUGAGCAGGAGAGUUGGCUCUGGCUCUGUUGCUGGCUUGCUGGGAGGGGCAGGUUUCCAGGUUUCUAAGUCCAGGCCCUACCUUAUUCCUGAGUUAUUGCUCUCCUAUCUUUCUAAAUGUAGCAACCAUCCAUCCAUCCAUUCACUUCUUGUCCCUCCAUCCAUUAAUUACCCAUCCAUCCAUUUUUCCAUCUGCUCAUUCCCUUAUCUUCCGCUUUCCUCUCACCCACUCCAAUGUAAGCUCCCUCACUGGGCCAGAGAUUGUAUUCUCUACUGUAUUCCUGGUUUCUAGCAUAGUUCCUGGCAUAUAGUAGGCCCUCAAUAAAUAUAUAUAUUUUUUAAAGGUCA